rnacentral:rRNA from 1 species
UACGUAGGGGGCGAGCGUUGUCCGGAUUUAUUGGGCGUAAAACGCUUGUAGGCGGCCACAUCGCGUCGGACGUGAAAUCUCCCGGCUCAACUGGGAGGGGUCGUGCGAUACGGAUGGGCUCGAGGCCGGUAGGGGGACGCGGAAUUCCCGGUGUAGUGGUGGAAUGCGCAGAUAUCAGGAGGAACACCAGCGGCGAAGGCGCCGCUCUGGGCCGUAACUGACGCUGAGGAGCGAAAGUGGUGGGAGACGAACAGG